rnacentral:rRNA from 1 species
GACGAACGCUGGCGGCGUGCUUAACACAUGCAAGUCGAACGGAAAGGCCUUUUCGGUGGUACUCGAGUGGCGAACGGGUGCGUAACACGUGGGUGAUCUGCCCUGCCCUCUGGGAUAAGCCUGGGAAACUGGGUCUAAUACCGGAUAGGACCGCACUUUAGUGUGUGUGGUGGCAAGUGUUUUCGGUGUGGGUUGAGCCCGCGGGCUAUCAGCUUGUUCGGGGGGUAAUGGGUUACCAAGGCGCGGGCGGGUAGCGGGACUGAGGGUUUGGUCGGCCACAUUGGGUCCGAGGGGAGGCCCAGACAGCGACGGGAGGGAGCAGGGGGGAAGAUUGAACGAUGGGCGCAGGGCUGGUGCAGCGGCGCCGCGGGGGGGAUGACGGCCUUCGGGUUGUAAACUCCUUUUGCCAGGGACGAAGCGUUUUGUGACGGUACCUGGAGAAGAAGCACCGGCUAACUACGUG